rnacentral:rRNA from 1 species
CCUACGGGUGGCAGCAGUGAGGAAUAUUGGUCAAUGGGCUUACGCCUGAACCAGCCAAGUCGCGUGAGUGAAGACUGCCCUAUGGGUUGUAAACCUCUUUUGUCAGGGAGCAACGCACGCUACGUGUAGCCGAACUAAGAGUAACUGAAGAAAAAGCAUCGGCUAACUACGUGCCAGCAGCCGCGGUAAUACGGAGGAUGCGAGCGUAAUCCGGAUUUAGUGGGUUUAAAGGGUGCGUAGGCGGAAGGCCAAGUCAGCGGUAAAAUCGCGGGUCUCAACCUCUCUCCGCCGUUGACACUGGCGUUCUUGAGUGCGCGAGAAGUAUGCGGAAUGCGUGGUGUAGCGGUGAAAUG